ACUGUUUAUGUUUGUCUUUUAUUUUCUACGGCGACGGUGAACUGGAACCAUCUGCCUAUGGGAGUCCAAUGGAAACUGCACACGCCAUCCAGAGUCGAUCACGAAGACAUCCACGGGAGCUGUGUACGCUGUGAGGAAGGCAACAGCACAAGGAGUCUGCAGUUCUGCUGGGGAUGUGACCUCUACUACCUGCCGAUGCUUGACGGCAACAGCCCACUGUGAUUGGAGUACCAAACAUAGGAGUCUGCAGUUCUGCUGGGGAUGGGGUGCACUACCUGCCGAUGCUUGAGGAUAACAUCCCAGUGUAUGAUUGAAGCGCACCAAACAUAAGAGUCUGCAGUUCUGCUGGGGAUGUGGUGCUACCUGC